ACGUGUUCGCGUCACCCGAGGGCGGGGCCCGCGCUCAAAUACAUCUGCGCUUGCGUGAGACAAGGGUCCGAGGGAGAGGGGGCGUGGCCAAAGGGAGCACGGCCCAACGACAAGACCGUGGUGGAGCCUUCCGUGAACCAUUACAUUAGGGUGCCACCAUGGAAUUCUUCAAUCACCCACCCCCUCCCUGAUGUUUAUAGUUACAAACUAUAUGUUCUGUGCAUUAAAUAAAACUUGCAGGGAUUGCAAGUGUGACUUCUCCAUACCCCCUAACUAUAAAGCAUCCCCAUUGCCCUAUACUCUGUUUGAUUUGGGAGGGGUGUUUAGUAAUGGUUGGUAUAACUGCAGGCUCAUGAGCAGCUAAAAAUCCUUGCUGUGUGGAGCCCAGCUUGCUGUUGAGCUCCCUCCCAAACCCUGACUGUCUACCGCUAAAGCCUGUACGAAGCAGCCUGGGAAAAGCUCUGACUGCACCUAGUUUCUAUAUGCAGCGAGAAUGUGCCUUAGGCUAAGGUGGGGUGGAUUGUUGUGGCUCACCUCCCUCCCUUUACCUGGGCAGAAAGCCAAACAAGAAGAUCGGUGAUACAGCAAGGAAGAAGAUCACAGCCACAAAUUUGCUCAGCAACUGGCACCCACCUGGAGGCUUUGUUUGGAUAAAGACCUGGAAAGUUGCUCAGAAUGCAGGGAGGGGAGAGAAUACAGCCCCCUUCUCAGCCACUCUCCAGCGAGGGAGAGUCCAACCAACAGCAGAGAAGCUAAAAAGGAAAUGAAUGGGAAGUUGAAUGAGGAAGAAAGUGAGGAGUGUGUGUGACACCCAUGAGCCAGAGUCAGCCGACAUGGGCCAUCCAUAGGUGUUUCAUUUCACUGAAGUGGUGACAGACUCUUGAGUGAGACAGUGUGUGGGAGACAGAGUCUCUGUGUGUACCUGUACUCUGCCUAGAGAAGCAUUACAAGAUAUAGCUCUGUGGGCUGUCCACGCUAUAAUGAGAAAACCACUAAAUAGGUACAAACCUGUCAUGAAACUACUACUAAAACUAUUUGACAGCAUAAACCUACCCAUUCCACUCUAUGGGAGUAAAGACAGGUGUUACUUCCUCAGCCUACUGUAUCAGUGAUGACAAAUCCCUACAUCUUAGUUUGCAAACAGCUACAACAGGAUACAAGAAAUGGAAACAGGAAACAACAGCUGUAGAGCAGAACUAAGGCACUUCACCCUUGUGAAAGUAGAAUGAAUUAUAUUGAAAUUAUAAUUCAUUAAAGAAAUGCUGCUUGAAGGGUUUGUUGAAAUAUAGUUGUCAGGAAGAGAAACAUUAAGGAGUGUGAGACAAUGGGUCCUCCAACUAAUUAACUUAGAGCUCCUACUGAGUCUGGUAAACGUUAGUAUGCAAAUAAGAUAUGUAUGUAUAUUUGUCAGUUUCUGCUUCCUUUUGUCUCUUAUGUUAAAUUGGCUUUCGCUUAUCUGUUUAAAUAAGUUAGCUUGAGCUUUUGCUGGAGGCUCACAUAUCUGGGUGCAUUGGCAAAGCGCUUUGCUAAUAAACAGAGUGGUCUGAC